rnacentral:rRNA from 1 species
CGUGGACAACCUGCCGCAUGCAGGGGGAUACCGGCUGGAAACAGCCGCUAAUACCGCAUAUGCGCACGGCGCCGCAUGGCGCAGUGCGGAAAGGGAGCGAUUCCGGCAUGCGAUGGGUCCGCGUCCGAUUAGCUUGUUGGCGGGGCAGCGGCCCACCAAGGCGACGAUCGGUAGCCGGCCUGAGAGGGUGGACGGCCACAUUGGGACUGAGACACGGCCCAAACUCCUACGGAAGGCAGCAG